rnacentral:sRNA from 1 species
AAAAAGCCCGCCUCUGCGUCAGCAUGAGCGGGCUCGGUUCGGAAAAGCCUGUAGCGUCGCCGGUGCGUGGUCCUGAUUCGCCACCGGUUCGCUUUAGCUGUUUCGGAUUCCGACUCAGGCUAAACAACUAGCCCGUUCAUCAAAACCCGCGUUCGCAAGCUGAUCUCAAAUCGACGCAAAUGCAAUCCUAUCACGCGUUUCCUUGCCCGG